UUAUAUAAAAACUAAAAUUAGUUAAGAAGUAAAAAUGCCAAUAACAUUUUCCAAUCAUCACCUUAGAUCAUACUAUAUGGUAUAAGAUAAUCGACAGCUAUCAAAAUCCCACUGUUCACUGAACAAAAUCGUGCCGAGCCUUCGUUGCCAACUUCAUGCCGAGCCUUCGUUGCCAAUUUCAUGCCGAGCCUUCGUUGCCAACUUCAUGCCGAUCCUCAGGCAAAAUGUAAGCAAAUCGAUCAAGUGUUUGACCAUCGCUUUCAUCAUGUUCUAUGCCGGAAUUUCUUUUGCCUAUUUGUGCGUCAGUUAUAUCAUUCAUUAAUUCUUGGUAACAUCAACAAUCCGUUGUUGAAUUUCUUACAAUUCUUUUAGUUACUCGCAUUCUGGGCCUACCCCAAUGCUAAAUGGUUUACCUUGGUGAUUAAGCAUCGUCGAACCACGAGCAAUUUGAACGUUGAACGAUGAGUCAAUAUUGACCGCCGAAUUUGCUGGCUCUUUUGGCGCCGAAGCCCCCCAAAUCCCUUACCUGCCACCGGUCACCAAACUCUGAGAAGAAGAACCGUGGCUAUUCCAGAGUCAGGAGUUAUAUGGAUUUGUUCGAAGAUCCCGAAGACACACUUCCUCUAACAAACAUCGAAAGCCGAGAAGAAAGAAUAGAGCGCCGUCGUCGCGUGAAGACCGAACAGAUGGAGUACAAGUUGGAACAAGCAAUCGCUCUUUAGAAACCAUAUUCAAUUGCAAAAGAUACAACAAAUCCGUUCAAAACAUUAUUUUUUUCUAGAAUUAAUUAUGAAACAUCCGAAUCAAAAUUACGAAGAAAAUUUGAACUAUAUGGUCCUAUCAAAAAAGUAAAUUAUUGAAACUGUU